CCUCCAAUCCGGUUUCUGCUCCAGAAAUGUGGGGCGGGGAGCCCCCCUCCCGGCCUGCCUGCUUCUCCCGGAAGUGGAGCUUCCACUCCGGAUUGCUGCUCUGCCCCAUAGCUGGGGGGGGGCGCUUUCGGAAAGGGGAGGGAGGAGGCAGGGGACCCCCCCCCCCGUGGAAGUUGCAGGAAAGGAAAAUCGGGAGCGAGGAGAAAGAGUCAAAGGACCCCUUUUCAGGAUAGACAGUGCCUGUGGCUGGAGGCUCUACACACCGGGUGUGCCUGUGGAGGCCAAAGACUGCGAGUAUUAGCACAGGGCUUGACUUCAGGUGCAGCAGAAUUGCCCAGCCCCCCAAGGAUUUG